rnacentral:rRNA from 1 species
GACAGAGGAUGCAAACGUUGCUCGGAUUUACUGGGCGUAAAGCGCGCGCAGGCGGUUCUGUAAGUCGGACGUGAAAGCCCGGGGCUCAACCUCGGAAGUGCGUCUGAUACUGCAGGACUGGAGUACUGGAGAGGAGAGCGGAAUUCCCGGUGUAGAGGUGAAAUUCGUAGAUAUCGGGAGGAACACCAGUGGCGAAGGCGGCUCUCUGGACAGAUACUGACGCUGAGGCGCGAAAGCGUGGGGAGCAAACAGG